rnacentral:rRNA from 1 species
AGAGUUUGAUCCUGGCUCAGAAUUAACGCUGGUGGCGUGCAUAACACAUGCAAGUCGAACGUGAUCUAUAGUUUUUGAGACUUCGGUCAAGAAAGCUAUAGUGAGAGUGGCAAACGGGUGAGUAACACGUGAGUAACCAACCUUCGAGUGGGGGACAACUUCGGGAAACCGGAGCUAAUACCGCAUAAGACCACGAUUUUGAUUAAAUUGAGGUCAAAGAAGUAAUUCGCUUGAAGACGGGCUCGCGGCCUAUUAGCUUGUUGGUGAGGUAAUGGCUCACCAAGGCAACGACGGGUAGCCGACCUGAAAGGGUGACCGGCCACACUGGAACUUAGACACGGUCCAGACUCCUACGGGAGGCAGCAGUGGGGAAUCUUGCGCAAUGGGGGAAACCCUGACGCAGCAACGCCAUGUGAAGGAUGAAGGUCUUAGGAUUGUAAACUUCUGUCAAGAGAGAAGAAGCUCUGACGGUAUCUCUAGAGGAAGCACCGGCUAACUCCGUGCCAGCAGCCGCGGUAAUACGGAGGGUGCAAGCGUUAUUCGGAAUUACUAGGUGUAAAGGGUGCGUAGGUGGUAUAGUAAGUCAAGUGUGAAAUUCCAUAGCUCAACUGUGGAGCUGCAUUUGAAACUGCUAAACUUGAGUGUAGGAGGGGAAAACGGAAUUCCUGGUGUAGCGGUGAAAUGCGUAGAUACCAGGAGGAACACCGGAGGCGAAAGCGGUUUUCUGGCCUAUUUCUGACACUGAGGCACGAAAGCUAGGGGAGCAAACAGGAUUAGAUACCCUGGUAGUCCUAGCUGUAAACGAUGUUCACUUAGCAUGGGGGGUAUAAAUUCCUUUCGUGCUGUAGCUAACGCGAUAAGUGAACCACCUGGGGAGUACGGCCGCAAGGCUGAAACUCAAAGGAAUUGACGGGGGCCCGCACAAGCGGUGGAGUAUGUGGUUUAAUUCGACUCAACGCGAAGAACCUUACCUGGACUUGACAUGCUUUUGAAUAUUAUAGAAAUAUAAUAGUCCUUCGGGACAAUUGCACAGGUGCUGCAUGGCUGUCGUCAGCUCGUGUCGUGAGAUGUUGGGUUAAGUCCCGCAACGAGCGCAACCCUUAUCAUUAGUUACUAACUCUGAUUAAUCUCAGAGAGGACUCUAGUGAAACUGCCUCGGAUAACGAGGAGGAAGGUGGGGAUGACGUCAAGUCCUCAUGGCCCUUAUGUCCAGGGCUACACACGUACUACAAUGGCCGGUACAGAGGGUUGCAAGACCGUAAGGUGGAGCUAAUCCCAAAAAGCCGGUCCCAGUUCGGAUUGAGGGCUGCAAUUCGCCCUCAUGAAGUUGGAAUCGCUAGUAAUCGCGGAUCAGCAUGCCGCGGUGAAUACGUUCCCGGGCCUUGUACACACCGCCCGUCACACCACGAAAGUCAGUUGUAACAGAAGUCGCUGGGUUAACCCUAACUUUGUUAGGGAAACAGGCGCCCAAGUUAC